UACACUUCCAUAUGUACCACGACCUAAAAGCUUCCCCUUUAGCCAUUGACCCUUUGUUGGUGAUACACAAGGUUUAUCCAUAUUGCUGUGCAUGGUACAUAAUUCUGGUUGUCGUGGAACUCCUGGUGGAAGGGGUAGUGGAUGCACAUUGUUGUUGUUAGCUUCAUUCCAACCUAGAGAACUUUCCGGAAGAGAUUUAUGAUGUGAAUGCAAAGCAACACUUUUGCUGUUCCUGAUUCUGUUAGCUGAACUUGGUAAAAUUGGGCUACUCACUGGAGAAUGAUCAGCGCUAUUUAUAACCCUUGUGGGUGAAAGUUGGAAAGCGUAAGCCUCUGAAGGUGAUGAUGAGGCCUGAUGCAAUGGAUGAUGAAAAAGGUCCUGUGUGCUAAACCUUUUUGGGCUUCGGACAGGGCUUGUAAAACCACUACUUGGGGCACUUCUAGCAGGAACGUUCAACCAGAAUUCAACACCCUCGGCGUUCAGAUCCUGAGGGAAACCCCUACGCCGAUAAGUUGGAGUAGAUGAUCUUGGAUGCUGAGAACUUUUCACCUCAGCUG
rnacentral:misc_RNA from 1 species